AGUGAACGCUGGCGGUAGGCCUAACACAUGCAAGUCGAACGGCAGCACAGAGGAGCUUGCUCCUUGGGUGGCGAGUGGCGGACGGGUGAGGAAUACAUCGGAAUCUACUCUGUCGUGGGGGAUAACGUAGGGAAACUUACGCUAAUACCGCAUACGACCUACGGGUGAAAGCAGGGGACCUUCGGGCCUUGCGCGAUUGAAUGAGCCGAUGUCGGAUUAGCUAGUUGGCGGGGUAAAGGCCCACCAAGGCGACGAUCCGUAGCUGGUCUGCGAGGAUGAGCAGCAACACUGGAACUGAGACACGGUCCAGACUCCUACGGGAGGCAGCAGUGGGGAAUAUUGGACAAUGGGCGCAAGCCUGAUCCAGCCAUACCGCGUGGGUGAAGAAGGCCUUCGGGUUGUAAAGCCCUUUUGUUGGGAAAGAAAUCCAGCUGGCUAAUACCCGGUUGGGAUGGCGGUACCCAAAGAAUAAGCACCGGCUAACUUCGUGCCAGCCGCCGCCGUAA
rnacentral:rRNA from 1 species